AUGCCACUAGACGAAUUUUGCAAGGUUUGCAAAAUACCUUUUGAGGGUAGUUUAGAUGAACCACAUCGUGAAGAUGUGGAUGGGUUUAUUGACACUAUUACUGUAGGGGAAACUAGGAAGGUUUCCGAUGCAAGAAUCACUAGCAUACAUUUUCCUGUUUUACGCUACUUUGCCAUAUUUGCUAGUCGUUGCUUAAUUGGUCGCGGAAACUGUGGAAACCUUAGUGUUCCUGAUAUUAUCAUUUUGUUCCAUGGUUUAUUCUGCGAUAACACUGUUAGUAUGGGCGGCAUUAUUGCUAAACGGUUAAGUUUGAACCGUACAAAGGGCCCCAUCUUUGGAGGUAUUUAUGCUUCACGCCUUGCUGCACAUUAUAACAUACCUAUUAGGCACUAUGAAAAAGAAGAAAAAUUGCUGCCCACUGCUUAUUUAGAUUAUAAGAGUAUGGUAGCGCAUGACUUUAUUGUUAAGAAUAGGGAAGGGGCGCUUAAAUACAAAUUGUUCUUUGAUAAACAUCACCCUGAGACUAUUACCUUGCCUGCUCCUUCCUUGUUUGAUUUAUCUGCAGGUCUGUAUCUCGUUCCGCUGUCGGCCAUUCACGCCUACCGGAACCCUACUUCAGCCACAGAGCCGAACCGGAACCACAAUUUGAGCCUCCACGACAAUCUAAUUACCAGUGGGAUCCGGAGAUGA
rnacentral:rRNA from 1 species